rnacentral:misc_RNA from 1 species
GGGAACAUCAAUCAUCCACUCAGGAAGCAUAAGCUGCUUGGCAAACCAUAACCGAGCGUCAGGUCCUCUCAGCUUGGUAGCUUGACGAAGAUCAUGUGCGUCCUUAUGAUGUCCAUAAUCGUCUUCGACUUCUUCGGGACAGGAUUCAAGUUCGUCUGUAACUUCUAAGUCGACCUGCUGUUCUUGGGAAGAGGAGUUGUAGUCAGAUUGAAGAGAGAGGACAGUGGAAGCUAAACGACGGGCUUGUAGCUGAGCGUCGUGGCGGUUUUGGGACUGGCGGAGCAAUGAAAGUUCUCGUCGUCUUUGUUGGUCGGAGAUCGCCGGGCGUUUAAAUGGACGGCGUAUGUCGUGUGAACUCAUCCUGUAUGAGGCUAAAGUUUGGAAUUCUG